rnacentral:rRNA from 1 species
UACGAGGGGGCAAGCGUUGUUCGGAAUUAUUGGGCGUAAAGGGCGCGUAGGCGGUUUGACAAGUCUUAUGUGAAAUCUCUGGGCUCAACCCAGAGUCUGCAUGGGAAACUGUCGGGCUUGAGUAUGGGAGAGGUGAGUGGAAUUCCGGUGUAGCGGUGAAAUGCGUAGAUAUCGGAAGGAACACCUGUGGCGAAAGCGGCUCACUGGACCAUAACUGACGCUGAGGCGCGAAAGCUAGGGGAGCAAACAGG